ensembl:lncRNA
AGCCAUGUCAACAUCACGAGCCCAGACAGCUGUCUCCUGAAAUGUAUGUGGACUGGAAAUCUUAGUAGUUGUUAUAGCUAGGAUAAUGAUUCAUCCUCCCUCUGGGGCUGGGGCUUGCCUCUGCAUGUUUUGCAAUGCUGUCUGGCUUCAUAACAGCAUAGCUGCAUGCUGUGAUUCCCAGCAGAUUUCUCAGCAAACUGAUGAUUCCAUUGGACGGACAUUUACCAGGAACCUGGAUGAAGCAGGUUUCAAAGUAUCUGCCACGUGCUGGCCACCUAAGGAGAAACGGGCCACAGUUGUGAAGGAAGAGUGUUCUCCAAAAAUGAAUGUGUCGCAGAUUCACAUGACUGAAGAUGAAUAUCAGAAGACAGUGAAAAACUUCAUAGAAAGCCACUUAUCUCUGAAAGGCACGUCUGAUGUGAAGAAGAAUCCAUCAGUCCUGAUGUGGGAAGAACAAGAGGCAGACAAAAAAGAGUUCUCUGAGAGAAAAACAACGUGUAGAUGGAAGAAUGUAGUCUUAUUUCCAGGAGGCCCAAGACAAGGAGACUGCUCAUGGAAGAGUUGCUCAUUUUACUUCAUUGCACUCCUCUCUCUCGUUGUGAACUGCAUAUUGGUUUUCUUGAAGAAGAAAAUUCUACAUUUUACCAACCUACUGAAGUUCAAGAACAGGCAGCAUGGAAAGCAACAUGUGGAAUGACUCAACAGGUCUGUAAUGAUAUGGUGAAAAGUAGCUGCAAGAGAGUAUGCAGCUAGUAGCAGAAUCUACUGAUUCCUGACUUGCAAGAUUUAAGCACUGAAUGGUGAUGGCUUCAACCUCAGUCAAAAAGACAAUGAGAAAACUUUGCAACCUAGAAGUGGAUGAAAGACUAUUUCUCUAAGUGCAUUCCAGGUCUCUAAUACACCUUCGAAUCAAAUUUGCAGCCAAGAGUAUGGUGAGAUACUGAUACUGUACAUACAAGGAUAAAUUAUCUAAGAUGAAAGGAUGAGAUGAAAAAUAAUGAAAACCUCUGAUCAAAGAAUAGGAUAUUUACCAUUUUGACAUGCACAGUACUCUGACUUGACUUAAAUGGAUGGAACAAUUGGUCAUCUUUCAUGUUUAAAUCUGUAUCUCCGAAUUAUUCCAUUUCUCAUUCAAGAUGUGGGUUGGCCCACAGAGGAGGUGAGGACAGGAGGGUCUUGAACAAUGGGUUCCAUGAGGCAAGGAGAUGGCUCAGGGAGCAAGAUAUCAUGUCAGAUUAAAUCUGAAACUCAUUUUGGGGCUUUCAAACCCCUUUAGCUUAAUGGAAGCUUUUGAAAAGAAGUGUUUUGACUUUUCUGAAUGCAAAGUUUAUCUUUUUUAGACAAAAUAUUUUGAUCUUCAGGUAUCAAUUCUUUUUCACCAAAAAGUUUAAGUUUUCUGUCCGGAAGCAGAUUCCACCCCCCCAGUGUUCAUUUAAUCAAAACUCCAAUUUCCAGUUGAAAAAACCAGCUUCCACAGGAAACUUAUAGCCAGCCUUAAUGAGUAACAUUUACAUUCUGUCCACAUAUAUUCUUUGUGCAGUUGCAGUUGCAUAUAAUACACUUUAUUAACUCCCCAAACUAUGUGUAGGGUUGAUGUUGCUUGUUAAAUAGCUACUGUGUGGCAGCAGAGAGGGAGUUUCAUUGUAAGAGGGAGCUUGUAUACACAAACAUAUAUAUAUCUCCAAUUUGAUUUUAUAAUCUGUAUUUGGACAAAACACUUACUGACUUUAGUGAAAGCUGUGUCUGCCUAAAGACUUUAUGAUGGACUAUAAAUUGUUUAUGAAGCUUUGUGAUUAAAGGAACUACAUAAAAAUAUGGCUGUAUGGCAGUGCUACUGUGAACCGUAAUUAUAAUAUACCUAUACUUGGGGACUUACUUCAUAUAAAUUACACUGAGAUUUCCAAAGCUGACUAGGGGAUCUGAAUGUCCAGUUCCUUUUAAUUUUAAAGGGAAUGAGGGACCUAAAUCCUUCAAGCAGCCUUGUAAAUGAUAGUGAUAAUAUAUAAGAAAAUAAAGUAACUCAUUUGUAAAGCCA